rnacentral:rRNA from 1 species
AACGCUAGCUACAGGCUUAACACAUGCAAGUCGAGGGGCAGCAUGAAAGGAACUUCGGUUCUUUUUGAUGGCGACCGGCGCACGGGUGCGUAACGCGUAUCGAACCUGCCUCAUACUCGGGGAUAGCCUUGCGAAAGUAAGAUUAAUACCCGGCGGUCUCGGACGGCCGCAUGACAGUCCGAGUGAAGAUUUAUCGGUAUGAGAUGGCGAUGCGUCCCAUUAGCUAGUUGGUGAGGUAACGGCUCACCAAGGCAUCGAUGGGUAGGGGUUCUGAGAGGAAGGUCCCCCACAUUGGAACUGAGACACGGUCCAAACUCCUACGGGAGGCAGCAGUGAGGAAUAUUGGUCAAUGGGCGAGAGCCUGAACCAGCCAAGUAGCGUGCAGGAAGACGGCCCUAUGGGUUGUAAACUGCUUUUAUAAGGGAAUAAAGUGGGUCACGUGUGACUUUUUGCAUGUACCUUAUGAAUAAGGACCGGCUAAUUCCGUGCCAGCAGCCGCGGUAAUACGGAAGGUCCGGGCGUUAUCCGGAUUUAUUGGGUUUAAAGGGAGCGUAGGCCGGAGAUUAAGCGUGUUGUGAAAUGUAGAGGCUCAACCUCUGCACUGCAGCGCGAACUGGUCUUCUUGAGUACGCACAACGUGGGCGGAAUUCGUGGUGUAGCGGUGAAAUGCUUAGAUAUCACGAAGAACUCCGAUUG